AUGUGCAUUCCUACAACAUAGGGUUAAUGCACUGGAUCCCACUAGAACUCUGCAGUUAAGCACGCUCAGGAUAAAGUAUUACUAUGAUGGGUGACCACCCGAAAAGUCCUAGUGUUUUACAUG
rnacentral:rRNA from 1 species